CAGCAGCCGCGGGAAUACGAAGGGGGCUAGCGUUGCUCGGAAUGACUAGGCGUAAAGGGCGCGCAGGCGGUUUUCCAAGUUAGGUGUGAAAUUCCUGGGCUCAACCUGGGGGCUGCAUUUGAUACUGGGAGGCUUGAGUAUGGAAGAGGGUCGUGGAAUUCCCAGUGUAGAGGUGAAAUUCGUAGAUAUUGGGAAGAACACCGGUGGCGAAGGCGGCGACCUGGUCCAUAACUGACGCUGAGGCGCGAAAGCGUGGGGAGCAAACAGGAUUAGAUACCCCUGUAGUCCCUGUCUCUUAUAC
rnacentral:rRNA from 1 species